CCCAUUGACAUUUAAAAUAGUUAAGAUGCUUCUAUCCAGAACAACUUACAGUAUGGAGCGAUGAUCAACUGCAUGUGUUUUAUGAAAAUGAAGUGAAAACGAAUGUGGACCUCUCCAUUUCUACAAAACGGCUUUAAGGUGGUAAGGUGAGUGCCUGCAUUUCCCCCCCAUGUAAGCCAUUACAUCUCCAAUGCAUUUGUGAUAUUAUGCAUGUAUGACAUGUAUUCUAAGCAGGAGGUCCAGAACAGACAUAUUUCAACACCCAGACUUCUGUAGUCACAGAGAUGAGAGAAGUUGACAAGGAAUUGUCCAGCUGCGCGUGGAAGGUCCCUUGUGAAGAGAGAAACAGCUGAGAGCACAAAGCCCCCUGGACAUGCGAUGACAACAAUUGAAAAGGACAGCAACAGACCUAUGCAACUACAUCAACUUCAGCAUUCCAGAGCCAGAAAUUCAGCCUCAAGUUUCCCUCCCUCCCUCCUCGGAAUCAUUUAGCUACCUGUGAAACUCAAGACUGCAUGAAAGUGUUUGAUAAGAACACCACAAUGGUAGCCUCUGCCAUGUCCCAAACAACCGGAUGUUCCAGUUUCUUUUAUGCCUGCUACGUUAUGUUACCACAACGGAAAUCCAGAAGCACAUUCUAACAGAGUUGAGAAUUAGUCUAACAAGACAAUUUGGUGUAAGGCUCAUUUAGUUGUGCAAUAUUCUAGCCCUGGAUUCACUAGUAGAGCCGAUAUACAAUGCAACUCUUAUUUGAUGAGACAGCAGCCUAACAAUUUACUGAUUAUUUCAGGAUCAAGAUGAUGUGUCGAAGGAAGCUCUCUAAAGGACAAGAUCCUUUAAUCUCUGCAAUAUUAACAUGCUGCGUCCUCUCUCCACACAUCCCACCCCCCAAGUCACUUCUGACUAACCCCUCAACUUCUUGAAUUACUGAAAGUGUAGUGUCGUGAGUUGACAAAAACGUAUGUCAAGGACACAUUUUUAUAUUUUGUUGACGUGUGACUCAGCAAUUAAUAAUUUCUCCACCUGCUCUUUAGUUUAUUAGUGAUUUAAGUAGUAGCAAUAACCAGUACGGGGCACUAGUGUGCUGUUAACCACACACUGUUCUACUCAACAGUUGGAACCAUGAUACUGUAUAUAUAAGCUAGAUGUUUUGUGAGUAUGAUGUUUACUGCUCAUUUUGUUUUUCACUUUUGUAUAUUAUCUACUUCACUUGCUUUGGCAAUGUUAACAUAUGUUUCCUAUGCCAAUAAAGCCCCUUGAAUGAAUUGGUUUGUCAAACAACUUAUGUAUGUAAUACGUGUUUGUUUUUUUGAAACUUCAAAUCAACCUCAAGUCACCAUCACUCGAAAGCAGGAUGUCCACAAAAUAAUGACAAGACCAAAAAAAGUAUGCUUAUGGAUGUGUAUUUUAAUAAAAAUAAUUCUGU
ensembl:lncRNA